rnacentral:rRNA from 1 species
GGGUUGUGAGGUUAAGCGACUAAGCGUACACGGUGGAUGCCCUGGCAGUCAGAGGCGAUGAAGGACGUGCUAAUCUGCGAUAAGCGUCGGUAAGGUGAUAUGAACCGUUAUAACCGGCGAUUUCCGAAUGGGGAAACCCAGUGUGAUUCGUCACACUAUCAUUAACUGAAUCCAUAGGUUAAUGAGGCAAACCGGGGGAACUGAAACAUCUAAGUACCCCGAGGAAAAGAAAUCAACCGAGAUUCCCCCAGUAGCGGCGAGCGAACGGGGAGCAGCCCAGAGCCUGAAUCAGUGUGUGUGUUAGUGGAAGCGUCUGGAAAGGCGCGCGAUACAGGGUGACAGCCCCGUACACAAAAAUGCACAUACUGUGAGCUCGAUGAGUAGGGCGGGACACGUGGUAUCCUGUCUGAAUAUGGGGGGACCAUCCUCCAAGGCUAAAUACUCCUGACUGACCGAUAGUGAACCAGUACCGUGAGGGAAAGGCGAAAAGAACCCCGGCGAGGGGAGUGAAAAAGAACCUGAAACCGUGUACGUACAAGCAGUGGGAGCACGCUUAGG